rnacentral:rRNA from 1 species
GACGAACGCUGGCGGCGUGCUUAACACAUGCAAGUCGAACGGAAAGGCCCUGCUUUUGUGGGGUGCUCGAGGGGCGGACGGGUGAGUAACACGUGAGUAACCUGCCCUUGACUUUGGGAUAACUUCAGGAAACUGGGGCUAAUACCGGAUAGGAGCUCCUGCUGCAUGGUGGGGGUUGGAAAGUUUCGGCGGUGGGGGAUGGGCUCGCGGCUUAUCAGCUUGUUGGUGGGGUAGUGGCUUACCAAGGCUUUGACGGGUAGCCGGCCUGAGAGGGUGACCGGCCACAUUGGGACUGAGAUACGGCCCAGACUCCUACGGGAGGCAGCAGUGGGGAAUAUUGCACAAUGGGCGGAAGCCUGGUGCAGCAACGCCGCGUGCGGGAGGACGGCCUUCGGGUAGUAAACGGCUUUCGCCUGUGACGAAGCGUGAGUGCCGGAACUGGGUAAAGAAGCACCGGCUAACUACGU